rnacentral:pre_miRNA from 1 species
GUACUCCCUCCGUCCCAAAAUUCUUGUCUUAAAUUUGUCUAAAUACGGAUGUAUCUAGUUACAUUUUAGUGUUAGAUACAUCUGUAUCUAAACAAAUGUAAGACAAGAAUUUUGGGAUGGAGGGAAUACUAC